rnacentral:misc_RNA from 1 species
GAUGAAGAACGUAGCUAAAUGCGAUACGUAAUGUGAAUUGCAGAAUUCAGUGAAUCAUCGAAUCUUUGAACGCACAUUGCGCUCUCUGGUAUUCCGGAGAGCAUGCUUGUUUGAGUAUCAGUAAACACCUCAACUCCUUUAUUGUAGUUGGACUUGAGCUAUCCCAACAGGACUUUUUGUUCCUGGCGGGAGGCUUGAAAUGCAGGUGCAGCUGGACUUUCUUCUGAGCUAUAAGCAUAUUUAUUUAAUCCCUUAACACGGAUUAUUACUUUUUUGCUGCAGCUAACAUAAAGGUUGAAUUUCCAUUGAGCUGACUGAUGCAGGAAUUUGGCAAGGAAUUUUUUUAAUGACUUGUUAAACUCGAUCUCAAAUCAAGUAAGACUACCCGCUGAACUUAAGCAUAUCAAUAAGCGGAGGA